rnacentral:tRNA from 3 species
GCCCCUAUAGCUCAAUUGGUAGAGCAACUGAUUUGUAAUCAGUAGGUUGGGAGUUCGAGUCUCUCUGGGGGCACCA